rnacentral:rRNA from 1 species
AUUGAACGCUGGCGGCAGGCCUAACACAUGCAAGUCGAGCGGAUGAAGGGAGCUUGCUCCUGGAUUCAGCGGCGGACGGGUGAGUAAUGCCUAGGAAUCUGCCUGGUAGUGGGGGAUAACGUCCGGAAACGGGCGCUAAUACCGCAUACGUCCUGAGGGAGAAAGUGGGGGAUCUUCGGACCUCACGCUAUCAGAUGAGCCUAGGUCGGAUUUGCUAGUUGGUGGGGUAAAAGCCUACCAAGGCGACGAUCCGUAACUGGUCUGAGAGGAUGAUCAGUCACACUGGAACUGAGACACGGUCCAGACUCCUACGGGAGGCAGCAGUGGGGAAUAUUGGACAAUGGGCGAAAGCCUGAUCCAGCCAUGCCGCGUGUGUGAAGAAGGUCUUCGGAUUGUAAAGCACUUUAAGUUGGGAGGAAGGGCAGUAAGUUAAUACCUUGCUGUUUUGACGUUACCAACAGAAUAAGCACCGGCUAACUUCGUG